AGUGAACGCUGGCGGUAGGCCUAACACAUGCAAGUCGAACGGCAGCACAGUAAGAGCUUGCUCUUACGGGUGGCGAGUGGCGGACGGGUGAGGAAUACAUCGGAAUCUACUUUUUCGUGGGGGAUAACGUAGGGAAACUUACGCUAAUACCGCACACGACCUACGGGUGAAAGCAGGGGAUCUUCGGACCUUGCGCGAUUGAAUGAGCCGAUGUCGGAUUAGCUAGUUGGCGGGGUAAAGGCCCACCAAGGCGACGAUCCGUAGCUGGUCUGAGAGGAUGAUCGGCCACACUGGAACUGAGACACGGUCCAGACUCCUACGGGAGGCAGCAGUGGGGAAUAUUGGACAAUGGGCGCAAGCCUGAUCCAGCCAUACCGCGUGGGUGAAGAAGGCCUUCGGGUUGUAAAGCCCUUUUGUUGGGGAAGAAAAACAGCGGGUUAAUACCCCGCUGUUCUGACGGUACCCAAAGAAUAAGCACCGGCUAACUUCGUG
rnacentral:rRNA from 1 species